CUGGCGACGUUUAUUCUCUCUCUCUCGCGCGUUCUUCUCUCUGUUGAGUCCUGUGGAUGACUUGCUGGAGCAGAACGUCCUCUGCAUUAUGGAAGUUGAUAUGUUAGAAAUGCUUCUUUAGUAUCUACUUAUUGGUAUAGUGUUGUCCCGUAAGUCUUGCCCUGGUUAUUAGUUAAGUAGUUAACAGUAGCUACCUUGGAGCAUGAGGACUUGCAGAACCAUGCACGUGGGCAACUCUGAACGUUUUGAAACCAUGCCGGGCUGUCUGUACCUGGCCUAUGUGGAUUCAACUGAAGCCGUACACGCCAAUGACUGCGCACAUGGCAGACGCUGCCCUGAUGACUUGAUUUAAAGUAGACUUAACCUCGAAAGGUGUGCAACAGAACCAAGGAUGGUGUGGAGGCAUCUGAAAAGAUUUGGGAGACUACGCAGUGACCUGUGGCUGAACCAUACACAUGAAGCCAUACACGCGGAGACUCCACCCAAAUGACUUAAUGGUGGAGACAUCACCUCAAGGUGUGACGCUGCCACUAUGAGUUGAUGGCAUGGAGACUCCAUCUGCCAAGUGGUUUUGAACAGGUGUAGAACUGACCCAAUGAUGUGGCUGGAGUGGAGACCAUCUUUAAAGGUGUGGAACUGAACCAACGCUGUGAAAGGUAGGUUGCCUUUGCAUAACAUCCCUGCAGUCUCAGAACUGGACAUGUCAACUGGGGUGUUCCUCGUCUGAUGCCCCCUGCUGAUUUUCAGCCCCAACCUACCCUUCAGGGGCACAGUCACCCGAUCACAAUUUAGAAGAGCCUUUCCGAUCUAUUGUCUGAGUUUUGUUCAGUGGUGAUAUUUAGUUCUGAACUUAAAGAGUGGUGUUUGUUUAUGGGCCCUCACUUUGAGUGGGAUAUUUAAAAAUGUGUAAAUGUUGUACUGUGGCACUUCACCUCUUUAAGAUGUAACUGUAUAUGCUUUCAGUGUGUUCACACUCCGGGACUCUAUUCCAUGUUUUUUACAGCUUGAAUUAAAUUGAGGUUGUUACCGGCCUACACACAGUA